GGGGAUAUGGCGAAAUUGGUAGACGCUACGGACUAAAAUCCGUCGACUUUCAAAAUCGUGAGGGUUCAAGUCCCUCUAUCCCCA
rnacentral:tRNA from 1 species